rnacentral:rRNA from 1 species
CCUACGGGUGGCAGCAGUGGGGGAUAUUGCACAAUGGGGGAAACCCUGAUGCAGCGACGCCGCGUGGGCGAAGAAGUAUUUCGGUAUGUAAAGCCCUAUCAGCAGGGAAGAAGAAAGGACGGUACCUGAGUAAGAAGCAGCGGCUAAAUACGUGCCAGCAGCCGCGGUAAUCCGUAUGGGGCAAGCGUUAUCCGGAUUUACUGGGUGUAAAGGGAGCGAAGGCGGCACGGCAAGCCUGAUGGGAAAGCCCGCGGCCCAACCGCGGGACUGCAUUUGCUACUACCGGGCUUGAGUGCCGUUGAGUUAGGCGGACUUCCUUGUGUAGCGGUGACAUGCUUAGAUAUUACGAGGAACCCCAGUUGCGAAGGCAGCCUACUGGACUGUGACUGACGCUGAUGCUCGACAGCGUGGGUAUCAAACAGGAUUAGCUACCCCAGUAGUC